GGAAUCUUCCGCAAUGGACGAAAGUCUGACGGAGCAACGCCGCGUGAACGAUGAAGGUCUUCGGAUCGUAAAGUUCUGUUGUUAGGGAAGAACAAGUACCGUGCGAAUAGAGCGGUACCUUGACGGUACCUAACGAGGCAGCCCAGGCUCACUAAGUGCCAGCAGCCGAGGUAAUACGUAGGGGGCAAGCGUUGUCCGGAAUUAGUGGGCGUAAAGCGCGCGCAGGCGGUUCCUUAAGUCUGAUGUGAAAGCCCACGGCUCAACCGUGGAGGGUCAUUGGAAACUGGGGAACUUGAGGACAGAAGAGGAGAGUGGAAUUCCACGUGUAGCGGUGAAAUGCGUAGAUAUGUGGAGGAACACCAGUGGCGAAGGCGACUCUCUGGUCUGUUUCUGACGCUGAGGUGCGAAAGCGUGGGGAGCAAAC
rnacentral:rRNA from 1 species